rnacentral:rRNA from 1 species
CAGCAGCCGCGGUAAUACAGAGGGUGCGAGCGUUAAUAGGAUUUACUGGGCGUAAAGCGUGCGUAGGCGGCUUCUUAAGUCGGAUGUGAAAUCCCUGAGCUUAACUUAGGAAUUGCAUUCGAUACUGGGAAGCUAGAGUAUGGGAGAGGAUGGUAGAAUUCCAGGUGUAGCGGUGAAAUGCGUAGAGAUCGGGAGGAACAUCAGUGGCGAAGGCGGCCAUCUGGGACAACACUGACGCUGAGGCACGAAAGCGUGGGGAGCAAACAGGAUUAGAUACCCCAGUAGUCCCUGUCUCUUAUAA